rnacentral:tRNA from 1 species
GCCCCUGUGGCGCAACUGGCAGACGCGCGGUGCUCAAACCACCGUUGUUGAGGGUUCGAGUCCCUCCGGGGGCA